AGUUAUAUAGUUUAAAUAAAAACUUUAAUUUUGUAAAUUAAAAUUGAGGUAAAAUUCUUUAACUU
rnacentral:tRNA from 1 species